GCUUCCAUAGCUCAGCAGGUAGAGCACUUCCAUGGUAAGGAAGAGGUCAGCGGUUCGAAGCCGCUUGGAAGCU
rnacentral:tRNA from 1 species